AUCUUUGCGCUUGGGGCAAUGACGCAGCUAAUGAGGUUCUAACCGAGGCGCGUCUAUUGCUGGUUGAAAACUAUUUCCAAACCCCCUCUUAGGCCUGGGUUCAGCCUUGGCCUUCGAGAAUUUCUGGAAGGGCUCCCUUUGGGGUAAAGCC
rfam:Lupinus angustifolius cultivar Tanjil chromosome LG01, whole genome shotgun sequence.